rnacentral:rRNA from 1 species
UACGUAGGGGGCAAGCGUUAUCCGGAAUUACUGGGUGUAAAGGGAGCGUAGACGGUAAUGUAAGUCUGGAGUGAAAGGCGGGGGCCCAACCCCCGGACUGCUCUGGAAACUAUGUUACUAGAGUGCAGGAGAGGUAAGCGGAAUUCCUAGUGUAGCGGUGAAAUGCGUAGAUAUUAGGAGGAACACCAGUGGCGAGGGCGGCUUACUGGACUGUAACUGACGUUGAGGCUCGAAAGCGUGGGGAGCAAACAGG